rnacentral:tRNA from 1 species
ACCCAGUUAGCUCAGUGGUAUAGAGCGCGGUCACUUAAAUCUCAGGAGAGCUUUGCCGCUCAUGCGAGACCCUCGAAGCCACACUGCCCAUGCCAAAAACGAAAGCAAGCGGCUGUUGGUUUGCCGAGGCUCCUCUUGACGACAGACGCUCGACGAGUAAGAAAGGCUGAAGUCACGAGUUCGAAUCUUGUACGGGGUA